GCCGCAUUAGCUCAAUUGGUUGAGCAUCGCACACCAAAUGCGAAGGUUGUGGGAUCGUUCCCCACAUGCGGCA
rnacentral:tRNA from 1 species